AUUGAACGCUGGCGGCAGGCCUAACACAUGCAAGUCGAACGAGUGGCGGACGGGUGAGUAAUGUCUGGGAAACUGCCCGAUGGAGGGGGAUAACUACUGGAAACGGUAGCUAAUACCGCAUACCAUCGGAUGUGCCCAGAUGGGAUUAGCUAGUAGGUGGGGUAACGGCUCACCUAGGCGACGAUCCCUAGCUGGUCUGAGAGGAUGACCAGCCACACUGGAACUGAGACACGGGCCAAACUCCUACGGGAGGCAGCAGGUGGGAAUAUUGCACAAUGGGCGCAAGCCUGAGGCAGCCAUGCCGCGUGUGUGAAGAAGGUCGUCGGGUUGUAAAGCACUUGCAGCGGGGAGGCGUGACCCGCAGAAGAAGCACCGGCUAACUCCGUGCCAGCAGCCGCGGUAAUUC
rnacentral:rRNA from 1 species